rnacentral:misc_RNA from 1 species
GAUGAAGAACGCAGCGAAAUGCGAUAAGUAGUGUGAAUUGCAGAAUUCAGUGAAUCAUCGAAUCUUUGAACGCACAUUGCGCCCUUUGGUAUUCCUUAGGGCAUGCCUGUUCGAGCGUCAUUUAAACCUUCAAGCUCAGCUUGGUGUUGGGUGACUGUCCGCCGCCCCCGGGCGCGUGGACUCGCCUCAAAAUUAUUGGCGGCCGGUACAUUGGCUUCGAGCGCAGCAGAAACGCGAACUCGAGCCCGUCGUAUUGGCUCCCAGAAGCUAUCUUCACAAUUUUGGCCUCGGAUCAGGUAGGGAUACCCGCUGAACUUAAGCAUAUCAAUAAGCGGAGGA